AUAGAUACCCGGGUAGUCCACGCCCUAAACGAUGCGAACUGGAUGUUGGGUACAUUACGGUACUCAGUGUCGAAGCUAACGCGUUAAGUUCGCCGCCUGGGGAGUACGGUCGCAAGACUGAAACUCAAAGGAAUUGACGGGGGCCCGCACAAGCGGUGGAGUAUGUGGUUUAAUUCGAUGCAACGCGAAGAACCUUACCUGGCCUUGACAUCUGUCGAAUCCUGCAGAGAUGCGGGAGUGCCGCAAGGAACGACAAGACAGGUGCUGCAUGGCUGUCGUCAGCUCGUGUCGUGAGAUGUUGGGUUAAGUCCCGCAACGAGCGCAACCCUUGUCCUUAGUUGCCAGCACGUAAUGGUGGGAACUCUAAGGAGACUGCCGGUGACAAACCGGAGGAAGGUGGGGAUGACGUCAAGUCCUCAUGGCCCUUACGGCCAGGGCUACACACGUACUACAAUGGUCGGUACAGAGGGUUGCGAAGCCGCGAGGUGGAGCCAAUCCCAGAAGCCGAUCCCAGUCCGGAUUGGAGU
rnacentral:rRNA from 1 species